rnacentral:rRNA from 1 species
UACGUAGGUGACAAGCGUUGUCCGGAUUUACUGGGCGUAAAGAGCGCGCAGGCGGUCGUUCAAGUCGAGUGUGAAAGCCCCCGGCUCAACUGGGGAGGGUCACUCGAUACUGAUCGACUCGAAGGGCAGGAGAGGGAAGUGGAAUUCCCCGGUGUAGUGGUGAAAUGCGUAGAUAUCGGGAGGAACACCAGUGGCGAAGGCGACUUCCUGGCCUGUUCUUGACGCUGAGGCGCGAAAG